UACGUAGGGUGCGAGCGUUGUCCGGAAUUAUUGGGCGUAAAGAGCUCGUAGGCGGCCUGUUGCGUCCGCUGUGAAAGCCCGGGGCUUAACCCCGGGUCUGCAGUGGAUACGGGCAGGCUAGAGGUAGGUAGGGGAGAAUGGAAUUCCUGGUGUAGCGGUGGAAUGCGCAGAUAUCAGGAGGAACACCGGUGGCGAAGGCGGGUCUCUGGGCAGUAACUGACGCUGAGGAGCGAAAGCGUGGGGAGCGAACAGG
rnacentral:rRNA from 1 species